rnacentral:tRNA from 1 species
UGCGGGAGUGGCGGAACGGCAGACGCGCUGGAUUCAGGUUCCAGUAGGGCGACCUGUGAGGGUUCAAAUCCCUCCUCCCGCACCAG